rnacentral:rRNA from 1 species
GCUGGCGGCGUGCCUAAAUACAUGCAAGUCGAGCGGACAGAUGGGAGCUUGCUCCCUGAUGUUAGCGGCGGACGGGUGAGUAACACGUGGGUAACCUGCCUGUAAGACUGGGAUAACUCCGGGAAACCGGGGCUAAUACCGGAUGGUUUUUGAACCGCAUGGUUCAGACAUAAAAGGUGGCUUCGGCUACCACUUACAGAUGGACCCGCGGCGCAUUAGCUAGUUGGUGAGGUAACGGCUCACCAAGGCAACGAUGCGUAGCCGACCUGAGAGGGUGAUCGGCCACACUGGGACUGAGACACGCCAGACUCCUACGGGAGGCAGCAGUAGGGAAUCUUCCGCAAUGGACGAAAGUCUGACGGAGCAACGCCGCGUGAGUGAUGAAGGUUUUCGGAUCGUAAAGCUCUGUUGUUAGGGAAGAACAAGUGCCGUUCAAAUAGGGCGGCACCUUGACGGUACUAACCAGAAAGCCACGGCUAACUACGUGCCAGCAGCCGCGGUAAUACGUAGGUGGCAAGCGUUGUCCGGAAUUAUUGGGCGUAAAGGGCUCGCAGGCGGUUUCUUAAGUCUGAUGUGAAAGCCCCCGGCUCAACCGGGGAGGGUCAUUGGAAACUGGGGAACUUGAGUGCAGAAGAGGAGAGUGGAAUUCCACGUGUAGCGGUGAAAUGCGUAGAGAUGUGGAGGAACACCAGUGGCGAAGGCGACUCUCUGGUCUGUAACUGACGCUGAGGAGCGAAAGCGUUGUUUAGCUCCAGGAUUAGAUACCCUGGU